CAGUAGCGGCGAGCGAACGGGGAGCAGCCCAGAGCCUGAAUCAGUGUGUGUGUUAGUGGAAGCGUCUGGAAAGGCGCGCGAUACAGGGUGACAGCCCCGUACACAAAAAUGCACAUACUGUGAGCUCGAUGAGUAGGGCGGGACACGUGGUAUCCUGUCUGAAUAUGGGGGGACCAUCCUCCAAGGCUAAAUACUCCUGACUGACCGAUAGUGAACCAGUACCGUGAGGGAAAGGCGAAAAGAACCCCGGCGAGGGGAGUGAAAAAGAACCUGAAACCGUGUACGUACAAGCAGUGGGAGCCUCUUUAUGGGGUGACUGCGUACCUUUUGUAUAAUGGGUCAGCGACUUAUAUUCUGUAGCAAGGUUAACCGAAUAGGGGAGCCGAAGGGAAACCGAGUCUUAACUGGGCGUUAAGUUGCAGGGUAUAGACCCGAAACCCGGUGAUCUAGCCAUGGGCAGGUUGAAGGUUGGGUAACACUAACUGGAGGACCGAACCGACUAAUGUUGAAAAAUUAGCGGAUGACUUGUGGCUGGGGGUGAAAGGCCAAUCAAACCGGGAGAUAGCUGGUUCUCCCCGAAAGCUAUUUAGGUAGCGCCUCGUGAAUUCAUCUCCGGGGGUAGAGCACUGUUUCGGCAAGGGGGUCAUCCCGACUUACCAACCCGAUGCAAACUGCGAAUACCGGAGAAUGUUAUCACGGGAGACACACGGCGGGUGCUAACGUCCGUCGUGAAGAGGGAAACAACCCAGACCGCCAGCUAAGGUCCCAAAGUCAUGGUUAAGUGGGAAACGAUGUGGGAAGGCCCAGACAGCCAGGAUGUUGGCUUAGAAGCAGCCAUCAUUUAAAGAAAGCGUAAUAGCUCACUGGUCGAGUCGGCCUGCGCGGAAGAUGUAACGGGGCUAAACCAUG
rnacentral:rRNA from 1 species